CACGUAGGGCGCAAGCGUUGUCCGGAAUUAUUGGGCGUAAAGAGCUCGUAGGCGGUCUGUUGCGUCCGCUGUGAAAACUCGGGGCUUAACCCCGAGCCUGCAGUGGAUACGGGCAGACUAGAGGUAGGUAGGGGAGAAUGGAAUUCCCGGUGUAGCGGUGAAAUGCAUAGAUAUCGUCAAGAACACCGAUAGCGAAGGCAGCUUACUGGGCUGUAACUGACGCUGAUGCACGAAAGUGUGGGGAUCAAACAGG
rnacentral:rRNA from 1 species